rnacentral:rRNA from 1 species
GACGAACGCUGGCGGCGUGCUUAACACAUGCAAGUCGAACGGAAAGGCCCUGCUUUUGUGGGGUGCUCGAGUGGCGAACGGGUGAGUAACACGUGAGUAACCUGCCCUUGACUUUGGGAUAACUUCAGGAAACUGGGGCUAAUACCGGAUAGGAGCUCCUGCUGCAUGGUGGGGGUUGGAAAGUUUCGGCGGUUGGGGAUGGACUCGCGGCUUAUCAGCUUGUUGGUGGGGUAGUGGCUUACCAAGGCUUUGACGGGUAGCCGGCCUGAGAGGGUGACCGGCCACAUUGGGACUGAGAUACGGCCCAGACUCCUACGGGAGGCAGCAGUGGGGAAUAUUGCACAAUGGGCGGAAGCCUGAUGCAGCAACACCGCGUGCGGGAUGACGGCCUUCGGGCUGUAAACCGCUUUCGCCUGUGACGAAGCGUGAGUGACGGUAAUGGGUAAAGAAGCACCGGCUAACUACGUG